rnacentral:rRNA from 1 species
GACGAGGGGUCCAAGCGUUGUUCGGAAUCAUUGGGCGUAAAGCGGGUGUAGGUGGCUCUGUAAGUCAGGAGUGAAAGCCCCGAGCUUAACUUGGGAAGUGCUUUUGAUUACUGCUGAGCUUGAAUGUGGGAGAGGAUCGUGGAAUUCCAGGUGUAGUGGUGAAAUACGUAGAUAUCUGGAGGAACACCGGUGGCGAAGGCGGC